AAGAUUAAAUACAGCUGGAUAAGGUUUAUUUUUCCUAACCUUGGAUUUCACACUUGGACUUUACAUAGUAGGUGCCUUUCUAGACAAUUUCUAUUAUGGAUUCCAUCCCCAGGCGAAGACAGUAUCAUUCUGUAGUGAGGGCGGAGUCUUCUCCCAAUUCCCCUGCUUCAGUCUCAGUGUUGGUAUUACAGGUAUAAAGCACCCACUCAAUUAACCGUGUAUCAAGAUUGUGCUAAUCACAACUCCACACUGUGCUCAGUCUUACUAAUUGUUUAUUUAAACGUUCUCUGCUAUGAGAUUCGGAACAUUUUAUAUCAAGGAUAAUUCUGUGCAUUCUUUAUGAAUUAUCACCAUGCUUAAAAUGGGGCACACCAGUCCUAAAUUCGGCUUUGUAACAAUGUCUAAUUCGCACACCUCGUAUAUGUAGUGCUAGAUGGCUGCUGGGUGCCCGCUAACAACUCGACAUCUGCCCCUCUGGUCCCGUCGCUCAGACCUCCUACUGACAUCAGGAGGCAGCGUCCUGACCCUUCGCGACCUCUUUGUCAUGGCGUCCGCGGGGCGUCUACCAGCCGAGGCUUCCGCAGUUAGGCGGGCGUGGACCUUCCCAAGAUGGCCGGGCUGAGCCCACGGCGCGCGGUGGGCGGGGUUCCGCCGCUGGAGGCGGGGCAGCAGGGCCGAGGGGUCGGGCUAGCAGGCGUGCGGCUUCCGAAGUAGGCAGGCUCAGCGCGCUUGCGCGGAGCGGCCCUGCGCGCAGUGAGGCAGUGGCGGGGGAAGGCACCGGUGGGGCCGACGGGCGGGCUGAGGAGGGAAGCGGGCGAGCGAAGUCCCAGUGCGCGCCGCGGCGGCCCGGGUAUCCUCCCCUUCCGGGCGUGAGGCGCUGAGAGGAAAGCGGAGCGGAGCCGACUCGCAUCGGCAGCUAGGUGCUUCUCCUGUCGCCCCAGACCGGCCUCCCGCGGCUUCGGCGCUCCAGUCGCGGGGCCCGGGUUCCUCAACACACCUAGCCUCAGCCGCCGUCAGAGCUUGUCCGCAGUUCCUCGAAGCCCCGGCGGCAGCCCGGGCUCUUGGCGGGGAGGAUGACGGAGCUGCAGUCGGCGCUGCUACUGCGAAGACAGCUGGCAGAACUCAACAAAAACCCAGUGGAAGGCUUUUCAGCAGGUUUAAUAGACGACAAUGAUCUCUAUCGGUGGGAAGUUCUUAUUAUUGGUCCUCCAGAUACACUUUAUGAAGGUGGUGUUUUUAAAGCUCAUCUCACUUUCCCAAAAGAUUAUCCCCUCCGACCUCCUAAAAUGAAAUUCAUUACAGAGAUUUGGCACCCAAAUGUUGAUAAAAAUGGUGAUGUUUGCAUUUCUAUUCUUCAUGAGCCGGGGGAGGAUAAAUAUGGUUAUGAGAAGCCAGAGGAACGUUGGUUGCCUAUCCAUACUGUGGAAACCAUCAUGAUUAGUGUCAUUUCUAUGCUGGCAGACCCGAAUGGAGAUUCACCUGCGAAUGUAGAUGCUGCGAAAGAAUGGAGGGAAGACAGAAAUGGAGAAUUUAAAAGGAAAGUUGCCCGCUGUGUAAGAAAAAGCCAAGAAACUGCUUUUGAGUGAUGUUUAUUCAAUAGCUAGUAACUUCAAUUAUUUCAGGGAUGUAAGCUCUCAGCUACUGCCUCAGCGCCAUGCCUGCCUGCCUGCUGCCAUGCUCCCUGCAAUGAUGGUCAUGGACUCACCCUCUGAAACUGUCUCCAAUUGAGAAACAUGGCACUGUUUUUCCUGCACUCUACCCACCUAUUGCUGGACUUCUGUUGUAACAAGUUGGCAAACUCUGGCUGGAACUGGGCUGCAAUAAAACAUGCCAGUCAUUAAUGCUGACAAGAGCCUAACAAGUGCCAACUUACAGAUGAUUACGCAUUUUGAAUUCUAAUGAACUGUUUUAACCUUCAGGAAGAAUUGUAAAGACCUGUACAUAGCACAACAUGAUCCGGAUAAUAUAUAUACUGUUCAUGUACAUCCACAAACACACCUUGUACCAAAUAAUGCUUUCUUGUAGUAGAAUAAGAAUCGUGUAAAUUCUAAAAGACUUUAGCAGGUUUUCUUUUCCUAUUCAUCGUUUCUUAUCAGUUCAAAAAGAUUCCUUAAAGCAUGUCAGGUGAAAACCAAUAAGGAUUAAAAGUUUCCAUAUAAUUUCCUUUAAACCAUUGAGUCUUCAUUACACUCUUUCCAUUUACUAAUCUUUUGUAUUUUCUUUGUUUUGCCACACUUCCUUUCCUUUUAUCUCUUCUAUCUGCCAGAAAGUUCUCAAAUCACUUAGUUAAAAUACUGAAAUACUAGUAAAUUACUUGAUUUUUCACGAUGACCUCAGUGGGGUCAUCACUAGGUGCUUUGUCCUUUUAUACUUGGAUUCACCCAUCUCUUGGAUUGGAUGUAGCAAUAACAUUUUCUGGCUGUUGAGAGCUCUUGAUCCUAGUCAUUAUCUCCUGAGAACUUUAAAAGAAAAAAGAAAAAAAAAAGGUCUGUUCUAACUAAGUUCAACUUAGCGAAAUUUAUUCCAAACAAUGCAAAAAUCCAGAUUUGGUUUUAUUUUUUGCCUUUAAGUUGCCUAAUCUUAAGGUUGGAUGAAUAAAGCAUGCACAACUACAGGCUUUCUACAUCUGGGAUUGCUAUUAAAAAUGCUAUUUGUCCUCUUACCCUUAUCCUUAAUCCUUCAUAUUUCUUUAUUUCUUCUUUACUGCAGAUUUUCCUCACCUAUUGUACAAAGAAAUUGCGAUGUAUAUUUUCAUGUAAUUUGAUUUUGGAAUUUUUGUCACCUUAUGUAGUGAGUUCUUCCAAAAUAUAAUUUUUUUCCAAUAAUUGUCAAGGUGUUGGCUUUUAUUGUAUUAAAUGAAGGCUAUAGUACUAAAUACCAGAGAAGUGCAGUUUAGAAAAAUCUCAGGUUGAUUCCUUAUGCAAACAAACUUAAUACUUGAAAAUCUCAUGGCCAUGGCAGUAUAUGUAUUAGGUUCUGUCUAGAUUCUUUAUCUGAAUCUAAAACCAUUAUAGGGGUGAGUCUUUGCUAACUGACAUACAGAUUUUGUCACCGACAUAGUGCACUUAGAUUUUUGUUUGAGCAUAAGUAUGUUUUCUAGACAGUUUCUAAAACAACUUCAGUGAUGGAUAAUAGUAGUAUGUUCGGUGUUAAAGACAGGCCUGAGCUCCUGUCUGGUUUUAGCUAAGAAUGGAAAGUAAUGUUUGCCAUAUAAGAGCUAGAGCAUAAGACUGUACCUGUUACUUGAUGGUGUUUGAUUGUGAGAAUAGGUGGGCCUCUGCCCCAUGGGGUUUGGCUAAGUCUUUUAUCAGAAGAGGGAAUAAAAGUUUUGCUGUCAAAGCCAGACCUUUCAAUCUCUUAAGUCUUUUUUUAAAGUAGUGGAAAUGGACUAGGAUGUAGUCAUGAUACAGCACCAUUUUUAAAUCAAAGUUUUCUCGGGAGCAUUGUAAAAUCUAUCAUAAACAUUGUCAAAACCCUUAAGUGUGUAGCAGCUGUGAACACCUUAAUUGGAUUUCACUGGAGCCCAGUUCUCAUUGAGAACUUUUAGACACCCUUUCUCCCGCAGACUAGAAGUUAUCCUACAGUGCUUUUGUCCUCCUCCAAGGGCCUGGGAAUGCAAUCCUCUUCACUCUCCAUUCAGAAAUCGUCCUCACAGUGGUUGCUUUGGCAGUGUGGAAAUUUUGCUCUCCUAUUGCUAUGAUUCUAGCUGACAGUUGAAUUAAAAUCCAGGGUUUGACUGCUCUGCAAGUAGUAAAUGACCUAGUAACUCAGGGACAGCUAUUUCUGAACUUACAAGUGCCACGGUAAUGUACUUAUUUUGGGAUAACUGUGUGGUUCUUUGUACUAGAUCAAGGACUGCUGGAGAGCUAAGAGUGACUGCCUUUAUCCUGAAGCUCUUUCCCCUCAUGGUGCCCCGACCAUCUUCUACAUAUGAAACAGAAGCCUAAAUGUUAGGGCUUACUUUCCUAUCAGAGAUGUCAUCUGUGCCUUUUCUAGUAUUCAUCUGACGGUGUGGAUUUAAAUGCCUCUACAUUUGAUUUAAAACUCACACUCAGGUGGCUUUUGUCCCACUAAUGCAUCAUUAGUGUGAGGCAAUUCUGUUUUAGAAAAAGUUCCAUCCUUACCCCAAACCUUUGCCACCUAUGUCAGCCUUCAGCUACAUCUACAAAGUUCUUUAGAUUAUAGAUCUGUUGGCUGUUACUUAUUUUAUUCCAAGUUCUUGUAGAGGCUUGCAAAUUUCAGUCUGUUUGUAAUGAGAUAUUGGUGGCUUUAUGUCCUUAAGAGUUUAAAAUCCACACAGUGAUUUCUUUGUCAUUAGAAGGUAACACUUGAACGUUUGGUUUUUCUAUUAGUUCUCUGAUCACCUGGGUUUCAUAGUAUCAUUUAAUGGCCUUUGUUCCCAGUUGUGAAGUUUUAUUUAUAUGCUCAUUCACUCUCUGCAAGCCUGCCCACUUUGGGCCUUGGUGCCUGUGUAUCUUUGUCUGGUCUCUAGUUGGUGGAAUUACCUUCUUUUUGUACUGCCACUUCUCAACAUUUUUGAAGUUUGACAUAAUGUUGCUUCAUUCCAGUUUUUUUUUUUUUUAGUUCUGUAAUUUGUUGACUGUAUUUAACUAUGUGAGUUUUGUUGUGAUGUUUACUGUAUUGUAAAGCACCUUAAUCAUGUGAUGGGUGCUCUAUAAAUCAAUAAAUGAUGACUUAGAGGCUGUA